rnacentral:rRNA from 1 species
CGAUGAAGGACGUGCUAAUCUGCGAUAAGCGUCGGUAAGGUGAUAUGAACCGUUAUAACCGGCGAUUUCCGAAUGGGGAAACCCAGUGUGUUUCGACACACUAUCAUUAACUGAAUCCAUAGGUUAAUGAGGCGAACCGGGGGAACUGAAACAUCUAAGUACCCCGAGGAAAAGAAAUCAACCGAGAUUCCCCCAGUAGCGGCGAGCGAACGGGGAGCAGCCCAGAGCCUGAAUCAGUGUGUGUGUUAGUGGAAGCGUCUGGAAAGGCGCGCGAUACAGGGUGACAGCCCCGUACACAAAAAUGCACAUAUUGUGAGCUCGAUGAGUAGGGCGGGACACGUGGUAUCCUGUCUGAAUAUGGGGGGACCAUCCUCCAAGGCUAAAUACUCCUGACUGACCGAUAGUGAACCAGUACCGUGAGGGAAAGGCGAAAAGAACCCCGGCGAGGGGAGUGAAAAAGAACCUGAAACCGUGUACGUACAAGCAGUGGGAGCACGCUUCGGCGUGUGACUGCGUACCUUUUGUAUAAUGGGUCAGCGACUUAUAUUCUGUAGCAAGGUUAACCGAAUAGGGGAGCCGAAGGGAAACCGAGUCUUAACUGGGCGUUAAGUUGCAGGGUAUAGACCCGAAACCCGGUGAUCUAGCCAUGGGCAGGUUGAAGGUUGGGUAACACUAACUGGAGGACCGAACCGACUAAUGUUGAAAAAUUAGCGGAUGACUUGUGGCUGGGGGUGAAAGGCCAAUCAAACCGGGAGAUAGCUGGUUCUCCCCGAAAGCUAUUUAGGUAGCGCCUCGUGAAUUCAUCUCCGGGGGUAGAGCACUGUUUCGGCAAGGGGGUCAUCCCGACUUACCAACCCGAUGCAAACUGCGAAUACCGGAGAAUGUUAUCACGGGAGACACACGGCGGGUGCUAACGUCCGUCGUGAAGAGGGAAACAACCCAGACCGCCAGCUAAGGUCCCAAAGUCAUGGUUAAGUGGGAAACGAUGUGGGAAGGCCCAGACAGCCAGGAUGUUGGCUUAGAAGCAGCCAUCAUUUAAAGAAAGCGUAAUAGCUCACUGGUCGAGUCGGCCUGCGCGGAAGAUGUAACGGGGCUAAACCAUGCACCGAAGCUGCGGCAGCGACGCUGAUGCGUUGUUGGGUAGGGGAGCGUUCUGUAAGCCUGCGAAGGUGUGCUGUGAGGCAUGCUGGAGGUAUCAGAAGUGCGAAUGCUGACAUAAGUAACGAUAAAGCGGGUGAAAAGCCCGCUCGCCGGAAGACCAAGGGUUCCUGUCCAACGUUAAUCGGGGCAGGGUGAGUCGACCCCUAAGGCGAGGCCGAAAGGCGUAGUCGAUGGGAAACAGGUUAAUAUUCCUGUACUUGGUGUUACUGCGAAGGGGGGACGGAGAAGGCUAUGUUGGCCGGGCGACGGUUGUCCCGGUUUAAGCGUGUAGGCUGGUUUUCCAGGCAAAUCCGGAAAAUCAAGGCUGAGGCGUGAUGACGAGGCACUACGGUGCUGAAGCAACAAAUGCCCUGCUUCCAGGAAAAGCCUCUAAGCAUCAGGUAACAUCAAAUCGUACCCCAAACCGACACAGGUGGUCAGGUAGAGAAUACCAAGGCGCUUGAGAGAACUCGGGUGAAGGAACUAGGCAAAAUGGUGCCGUAACUUCGGGAGAAGGCACGCUGAUAUGUAGGUGAGGUCCCUCGCGGAUGGAGCUGAAAUCAGUCGAAGAUACCAGCUGGCUGCAACUGUUUAUUAAAAACACAGCACUGUGCAAACACGAAAGUGGACGUAUACGGUGUGACGCCUGCCCGGUGCCGGAAGGUUAAUUGAUGGGGUCAGCGCAAGCGAAGCUCUUGAUCGAAGCCCCGGUAAACGGCGGCCGUAACUAUAACGGUCCUAAGGUAGCGAAAUUCCUUGUCGGGUAAGUUCCGACCUGCACGAAUGGCGUAAUGAUGGCCAGGCUGUCUCCACCCGAGACUCAGUGAAAUUGAACUCGCUGUGAAGAUGCAGUGUACCCGCGGCAAGACGGAAAGACCCCGUGAACCUUUACUAUAGCUUGACACUGAACAUUGAGCCUUGAUGUGUAGGAUAGGUGGGAGGCUUUGAAGUGUGGACGCCAGUCUGCAUGGAGCCGACCUUGAAAUACCACCCUUUAAUGUUUGAUGUUCUAACGUUGACCCGUAAUCCGGGUUGCGGACAGUGUCUGGUGGGUAGUUUGACUGGGGCGGUCUCCUCCUAAAGAGUAACGGAGGAGCACGAAGGUUGGCUAAUCCUGGUCGGACAUCAGGAGGUUAGUGCAAUGGCAUAAGCCAGCUUGACUGCGAGCGUGACGGCGCGAGCAGGUGCGAAAGCAGGUCAUAGUGAUCCGGUGGUUCUGAAUGGAAGGGCCAUCGCUCAACGGAUAAAAGGUACUCCGGGGAUAACAGGCUGAUACCGCCCAAGAGUUCAUAUCGACGGCGGUGUUUGGCACCUCGAUGUCGGCUCAUCACAUCCUGGGGCUGAAGUAGGUCCCAAGGGUAUGGCUGUUCGCCAUUUAAAGUGGUACGCGAGCUGGGUUUAGAACGUCGUGAGACAGUUCGGUCCCUAUCUGCCGUGGGCGCUGGAGAACUGAGGGGGGCUGCUCCUAGUACGAGAGGACCGGAGUGGACGCAUCACUGGUGUUCGGGUUGUCAUGCCAAUGGCACUGCCCGGUAGCUAAAUGCGGAAGAGAUAAGUGCUGAAAGCAUCUAAGCACGAAACUUGCCCCGAGAUGAGUUCUCCCUGACCCUUUAAGGGUCCUGAAGGAACGUUGAAGACGACGACGUUGAUAGGCCGGGUGUGUAAGCGCAGCGAUGCGUUGAGCUAACCGGUACUAAUGAACCGUGAGGCUUAACCUU